UUAUGUGAUACUGUCACCUAAUCUUCUAAAUCUCACAUUUUCCGACUCUUACUUUUGUUAUCUUUAGCAAAUGUAUAUUUUCUACUGGGGAUGUGUCUAUAAGAAUAAUACUUAAAAUACAGGGAAUUAUGAAAAUUAUAUCGAUGAUGAAUAAACUGCAUACUGGAAUUGGAAAUGAAACAAAAAACCCAAAAUAGUUGAUGAUAUUAGCAAAAAUCAGUUAUAUGCAGUUAGAAGGAAGCAUUUUAAAAGAGAAUCCUGCUUUUCAACAUUUCAUUCAGUUAAUUUUAUUUUGAAAAGAAACUUCUUCCUUCUCUACGAUGAAAACAAAAAUGGGAAUAACUUGCCAAAAGUCUAUAAAUAAAGAAUUCUAAUGCAAAAACUCACCCGGAUAAUGUAUUCCAAUAAUCAUUAUAUUAUUUCCAUUGAAUAAAUUGAUCGAACAUA